rnacentral:rRNA from 1 species
AUUGAACGCUGGCGGCAAGCCUAACACAUGCAAGUCGAACGAGUGGCGGACGGGUGAGUAAUGUCUGGGAAACCGCCUGAUGGAGGGGGAUAACUACUGGAAACGGUAGCUAAUACCGCAUACCAUCGGAUGUGCCCAGAUGGGAUUAGCUAGUAUGUGGGGUAAAGGCUCACCUAGGCGACAAUCCCUAGCUGGUCUGAGAGGAUGACCAGCCACUCUGGAGCUGAGACACGGUCCAGACUCCUACGAGAGGAAGCAGUGGGAAGUAUUGCCCAAGGGGCGCAAGCCUGAUGCAGCCAUGCCGCGUGUAUGAAGAAGGCCUUCGGGUUGUGAAGUACUUUCAGCGGGGAGGCGUUACCCGCUGAAGAGGCACCGGCUAACUCCGUGCCAGCAGCCGCGGUAAUUC